rnacentral:rRNA from 1 species
GGAGUUAGCCGGUGCUUCUUCUGCGAGUAACGUCACAGAUGUAAGGUAUUAACUUACACCCUUUCCUCCUCGCUGAAAGUGCUUUACAACCCGAAGGCCUUCUUCACACACGCGGCAUGGCUGCAUCAGGGUUUCCCCCAUUGUGCAAUAUUCCCCACUGCUGCCUCCCGUAGGAGUCUGGGCCGUGUCUCAGUCCCAGUGUGGCUGAUCAUCCUCUCAGACCAGCUAGGGAUCGUCGCCUAGGUGAGCCUUUACCUCACCUACUAGCUAAUCCCACCUGGGCUUAUCCAUCAGCGCAAGGCCCGAAGGUCCCCUGCUUUCCCCCGUAGGGCGUAUGCGGUAUUAGCAGUCGUUUCCAACUGUUAUCCCCCACAAAUGGGCAAAUUCCCAGGCAUUACUCACCCGUCCGCCGCUCGUCAUCUUCAAAAGCAAGCUUUUGAAAUGUUACCGCUCGACUUGCAUGUGUUAGGCCUGCCGCCAGCGUUCAAUACUGAGCCAGGAUCAAACUACUGA